AUUGAACGCUGGCGGCAGGCUUAACACAUGCAAGUCGAGCGGGGACUUCGGUCCUAGCGGCGAACGGGUGAGGAAUGCUUGGGAAUCUGCCCAGUAGCGGGGGAUAACGUUUCGAAAGGAACGCUAAUACCGCAUACGCCCUACGGGGGAAAGGGGGGGAUCUUCGGACCUCUCACUAUUGGAUGAGCCCAAGUCGGAUUAGCUAGUUGGUGGGGUAAAGGCCUACCAAGGCGACGAUCCGUAGCUGGUCUGAGAGGAUGAUCAGCCACACUGGAACUGAGACACGGGCCAGACUCCUACGGGAGGCAGCAGUGGGGAAUAUUGGACAAUGGGCGAAAGCCUGAUUCAGCCAUGCCGCGUGUGUGAAGAAGGCCUUCGGGUUGUAAAGCACUUUAAGCGAGGAGGAAUGGCUCUUGGUUAAUAACCUUGAGCAGUGACGUUACUCGCAGAAUAAGCACCGGCUAACUCUGUGCCAGCCGCCGCAGUAACAC
rnacentral:rRNA from 1 species